CAUACAACACUUCAUAGACGCUGCUGCCCUCGAGGUAGAGGUGCGGAACUGUCAAGUAUGGCGCGACCGAAAACUAAGAAGAAGCCUGCCGCGGCAGCCGGUCGCAAAUCAGCGGGAAUCCAAAAGUCGCGUAUCAAAAAUGAAACAGAGAAUCGUAUGGCCGAGAACGCGGCGAGCGUCAUCAGGAGCCGCGGAGGGAGGAGUUCCUCGGCCGAUGAAGCCGCGAACACACCGAGUAGUGCCACGAAGGCUCUUGCUCUCGGGGAACGCUCUACGGAAAAUGAGUUGAACGAAGUCCCAAGAGUGGUGGUCGGGGAUGUUCGGGUCCGAAUUGAGCAUUGCAAAUCCUGACGGGUCUACUCGAGGAAUGCUUUGGCACUGCAAAAAUCUCUCAUCGAGGCUUUCCCGGAAAGUCUGACCGAUUCGAGUUUCACCAUAAAUGAGACCAAACCCCGCUCGAAGAGUUUCGAGUUUGUGCUCAUCCAGAACGGCGAGGAAGAAGUCGUGUGGUCUGGUCUCAAACUGGGGCCGCCCAGAGCGCAGAAAUUCCCUGCGUCGGAGAAGCUUGUGGAACUCUUCGCCAAGAAACUGAGCAAGAACUAAACUUCGCAGGGAGACUUUGUGGUCCCGGAAGCUGUUCGCGCUCUCUGAAAUCGCCGUGGAGAUUCUCUGAAGCGAGAUCUCGGAAUGCGAGAAAUGACGAGGCAGAAUCAAAGCUUUCGAGACGUUCUGCCUCUGAUGACGCAAUCAAGAUCUCAAGUCUGCGAUCUUCAAGGCGACUUGGUUUUCAACGCAUUUUAAUUUGUACAAUCCCGUGAAUUCGGUUCUUAUUCCAUACUUCGUAACUCGGAAUGUAAGAUGAGGCAUGUGUUCUGACCCUGAAGGGUAAUGAAAAUAAAAGUCAAUCAGUUUGAAAUUCU